rnacentral:rRNA from 1 species
AGAUUAAGUUAUUAAGGGCGCACGGUGGAUGCCUUGGCACUAGAAGCCGAUGAAGGACGUUAGUAACGACGAUAUG